GUUUUAUUAUCGGUUCUCCUGAGUGCUCAAACAUCUAAUUAGGAACCUCUGGUUAUCUCUCGGAUGUUCUUACCCAUAAUACAUUUCUAUAUCACCACUGUUAUAUAAGAUCAGUUAAUGGCCACCCGGUAUUAUAUAGGAUCAGGUGAUGGCCGCCCCGUAUAAUAAAGGAUCAGGUAAUGGGCGCCCGGUGUUAUAUAGGAUCAGGUAAUGGCCGCCCGGUGUUAUAUAGGAUCAGGUAAUGGCCGCCCGGUGUUAUAGAGGAUCAGGUAAUGACCGCCCUGUGUUAUAUAGGAUCAGGUGAUGGCCGCCCCGUAUAAUAAAG